UCUGGGCCUUUUGGGGUCUAUCCUUCCAUUAUCUGUCCCCACCACCCAAUAAGAUCAGGGUUCCGUUAGCAAGUGGUUGGGGGAGGCGUUUGGAAUUGGGGAGGGAGCUGUUGUGCGAGAGAACGGCCAUGCGUUUGUGCACACUCUUUAUUCUUCACUUUUCUUGGCAGAUAAAAGCACUUCUUGGAUUAUUUUAUGAAACGCAGAGGGGAUUGUAAACAGCAAAUCAGUUACUGUGGAGAUGGAGGCAGCGUGUGUUCAAAUACAGUGUCUGUGUCUCUUUGGCUGUGUGAUCUUGCACGAGUAACCUCCUGUGUCUGGGGCUCUAACACGUCACCUGUAAACUGGGAAUGAUGACCUCAAACUACGCGAGGCUUCCAGGCAGCAGUGCGGCUGGUCUCUGGCACACAGUAGGUGCUUAACACAAUGUCUUACCUCCUCCUACUCUCACCUGGCACUCAGAGGGCCGGUGCAUGAAAGAAAAUGUGAAAAAAAAAAAAUGACAAAAAAGAUUUAUUGCGGGGGAGAGUGAAGAAAAAUAGGAAGAAAUAAAGCCCCCCCAGAUGGAAGCCAGCACCCUGAAUGCCCACGAGGGAGGCAGCCCAGCCUGGAGGGGAACUGGGCGGAGCUGCUCUGGAGACGUUCUUCACAGGCAAAUACAGCCAGAAGCCACCAGGCAGGUACUAUCCUGCCUCCCCCAUGGGGCUGUGGGGCGAUACUUCUAAGAAGAUGCUCGAGGCCAGGCGCCAUGGCUCACACCUGCAAUCCCAGCACUUCGAGAGUCCAAGGCAUGGAGACAUCAGGAUGAUGAGGAUGGCACCGCCAGUGAGUGAUGAAACCACAGGCCCUACUUAAACAUCUCUUCCCUAAUCUUCA
rnacentral:lncRNA from 1 species